UACGUAGGGGGCAAGCGUUGUCCGGAAUCAUUGGGCGUAAAGAGCGCGUAGGCGGCCCAGUAAGUCGGCUCUGAAAGUCAGGGGCUCAACCCCUGAAUGCGGGUGGAUACUGCUGGGCUAGAGUCCGGAAGAGGCGAGUGGAAUUCCUGGUGUAGCGGUGAAAUGCGCAGAUAUCAGGAGGAACACCGAUGGCGAAGGCAGCUCGCUGGGACGGUACUGACGCUGAGGCGCGAAAGCGUGGGGAGCAAACAGG
rnacentral:rRNA from 1 species